rnacentral:rRNA from 1 species
GAUUCCCUUAGUAACGGCGAGCGAACAGGGAUGAGCCCAGCGCCAAGUUUCAACACUCGACGUGUUUGAAAGAUGCGGCGUUGAUACGUCUGUGUAUCGUCUACUGACACGUAUUUCAAGUUCCCUUGACAGGGACUCCCAGAGUGGGUGCUAGGCCCAUAGRGAUAUGAGUCUGGUAGACGCAAACAGGCGUAUUCUAGAGUCAGGUUGCUUGAGAGUGCAGCCUAAAGCAGGUGGUAAACUCCAUCUAAGGCUAAAUAUUACAGCGAGACCGAUAGCAAACAAGUACUGUGAAGGAAAGUUGCAAAGAACUUUGAAGAGAGAGUUCAACAGGACGUGAAACCACUAACAGGCAAACGGAUGGAACCACGAAGUAUGCCUGACACACAAUUCAGCCAURWUCAUUGAUGAUCUGUGCGUUUAAUGGGCCCGAUUUGGGUUAUAAGCGUACAAAUUUGUGUCAAUGAUUACGGUGCAUUUUGUUAGUGUCAGUGCUAAAGCCACGUCUAAUUGAAUGACUGAAACGGUURUAGUAUUGAUCGGCAGGAAGGUAACUUGAAACUUUCGGGUUUAARGUGUUAUAGCCUGCCGAUUGGACCGUUAUCGAGUGUAUCGAUUAGUAAAAGUUCUCUAGCAAUAGAGUUUGUUGGUUGCCUGCCAAUGUGCGCCUUGCACUGUCGUAUGAUCGUUCUUUUGCGUCUUCGUGAUGUACAAAGGCGACUGUAUGUGCGRUGUCUGUGCGUGCAUUGUUGCAGUGUAGCUUUCAACAGUGGCCCGAGUAGGUCGGUGUCCAUCCGACCCGUCUUGAAACACGGACCAAGGAGCCUACCAUACACGCGAGUCGCUCGGUCUUGUUUAGGCCCGGGAGGCGUAAUGAAAGUAAAGCUACGAGGCUGUAACAGGUCGCAGUAGCAGCCCGCCGGCUUUCUUUAUCGGGAAUAUGGCGGAGCCGGAGCGUGCACGGUGGUACCCGAAAGAUGGUGAACUAUGCCUGGGCAAGAUGAAGUCAGAGGAAACUCUGAUGGAGGUCUGUAGCGAUUCUGACGUGCAAAUCGAUCGUCAGACCUGGGUAUAGGGGCGAAAGACUAAUCGAACCAUCUAGUAGCUGGUUCCCUUCGAAGUUUCCCUCAGGAUAGCAGGCGCUCGAUGAGACAGUCUCAUCCGGUAAAGCUAAUGAUUAGAGGUCUUGGGAGCGAAACGCUCUCAACCUAUUCUCAAACUUUAAAUGGGUGAGAUGCUCGACUCGCUUAACUGGAGCCGAGCAAUUGGAUGUGUGGGCGCCUAGUGGGCCAGCUUUGGUAAGCAGAACUGGCGCUGUGGGAUGAACCAAACGUCGAGUUAAGGCAUCAAAUGUGUACGCUCAUGAGAUCCCAGAAAAGGUGUUGGUUGCUAUAGACAGCAGGACGGUGGCCAUGGAAGUCGGAAUCC